GGCCAGUAGGCGCCCACUCCGCUCCCGCUCACCUGUUUUUUCUGCUCUGUUUUGUCGGUGACGACGCAGUGAGAACGAGAAGGCCGGGUUCAUCAGCCUCGUCUCGCGCUACCUCAGCGGCGAGGCGGAGCAGAUCGAGUGGAGCAAGAUCCAGACCCCCACCGAUGAGGUGGUGGUGCCCUACGACACCCUCGUGCCCCCUCCCGAAGAUCUCGACGCCAUGAAGGCGCUGCUCGACAAGCUCGCGGUGCUCAAGCUCAACGGAGGCCUCGGCACCACCAUGGGCUGCACCGGCCCCAAGUGAGCA